GACGAACGCUGGCGGCGCGCUUAACACAUGUAAGUCGAACGGAAAGGCCCUGCUUUUGUGGGGUGCUCGAGUGGCGAACGGGUGAGAAAAACGUGAGUAACCUGCCCUAGACUUUGGGAUAACUUCAGGAAAAGGGGGCGAAUAACGGAUAGGAGCUCCUGAUGGAUGGUGGGGGUGGGAAAGAUUCGGCGGUUGGGGAUGGACUCGCGGCUUAUCAGCUGGUUGGUGGGGUAGUGGCUUCCGAAGGCUUCGACGGGUAGCCGGCCUGCGCGGGUGACCUGCCACCUUGCCACUGUGAUACGGCCCAGACUCCUACGGGAGGCAGCAGUGUGAGAUUUUGCACUAUGGGCGGCAGCCCGAUGCAGCAACGCCGCGUGCGGGAUGACGGCCUUCGGGUUGUAACCCGCUUUCGCCUGUGACGAAGCGUGAGUCACGGUAAUCGGUAAAGAAGCACCGGCUAACUACGUG
rnacentral:rRNA from 1 species